rnacentral:lncRNA from 1 species
AGGUGAUAGAAGCCACUGACAUCAAGGCAAGAAAGUUCCUGAACAUGCAUGGAGGUUUCACCCCAAAUCCCGAGACUCUAUGCUAAGCGGAAGGAAAGAGGGAGGGAAGGAAGGACUAGUGAGUGUCAGAACCACUGUUCAGGAUGAGACAACAAACAUCCAUGAGUUGUAAUUAUAUAAAAUUUUAGUUAAUAUGAAAUGUAUAGAAAGACAUGCUGAACAGACUAAAUGUCUUUUUGAUAUAAUGAUUUAUUUUGUCUUCUCUAAAGUCCGCAUUAAAACCAAAGAAGCAACUUCCUUUUGCUUGCACCAGUUAACGUGACAAUACUUCUCACUGCUGUGCAUUGCGGUUUGGCUAAAAUAAAUCUUGGUGAAGUGCAACAUUUUGCAUUAACAGAAGAUAGCAGCUUUGUAGUUGUUGACCUUUUUCACACUUGACCUCUUUCUGGUCAACUGUUGUUUCACAGCAGAGUUUUAAGGAAUUAGCAAAAACAUAAAACCUAAAGUCUAUUAUUUAAUUGCAGUUGUUGUUGUUAAACUAAUUUACAUGUUUUAUUUUGCAGACAUUGAUACAGCUGUGGUGUACUCAGCAGUGAGAACUGAAGAUGUCACUUAUGAACAAAUAGCCAUCAAACCAAAGAAGAUCAGAGGAAACAACCACGAUACAGGAAACAGCAAAGGCAUCAUUUGAUACUGUGAACUGCACAGCAGAGCUUCAGUGCAGGAUGUGUCUGUUUGAGACUGAAACACUUUAUGUCCUUGGACACUCAGAACCCAAUCAGCAGCAGGUGACAUGGUGCAAAUGUUCAUUUUAAUGAAGUGUUUAAUCUUGUAUAAAAUGUGAGAAAUGUCCUGUAGUUUCAACAUUAAUUUUUGUGUAAUUUUUGUGUAAUUUAAUGUAAUGUAAUGUUCUGUAAUGGCAUAGACUCAACCACAGGUCACCUUGCAAUAGCCACAUAUCAGGUGUGGUCAAACUUGUGUCAUAAGUGAGAAACAAGUUUCAAACCGAUCCAGAUUAGGCCCAUUUUCUUUUGGUGUUCCCUUUUAUUAGCAAGAUGAAUUUCUAUUUAAUAUGAGGUCGAUUAAAAAAAAAAAACAGACUGAAUGUAUCAAAUGUUAUUUUUUGAUGUUUAAUUUUGUCUUCUCUAGAGUCUUGAAUGUAAAACCAAGAAGCAGCAACUUCACUACAGUGUGUUCUAUUUAGGUUAAUAAUGGGUUUCAUGCUGUGAGAACAUGUUUGCUUUGUGCUUUGUGGUGAAGUGCAUCAGGUUGUAGAAACGGAAAAUAAAAGCUCUGUG